rnacentral:rRNA from 1 species
UGGCGAACGGGUGAGUAACACGUGGGUGAUCUGCCCUGCACUCUGGGAUAAGCCUGGGAAACUGGGUCUAAUACCGGAUAGGACCAUGCUUUAGUGUGUGUGGUGAAAGUUUUUUCGGUGUAGGAUGAGCCCGCGGCCUAUCAGCUUGUUGGUGGGUAAUGGCCUACCAAGGCGGCGACGGGUAGCCGGACUGAGAGGUUGGUCGGCCACAUUGGGACUGAGAUACGGCCCAG